rnacentral:rRNA from 1 species
UACGUAGGGGGCAAGCGUUAUCCGGAUUUACUGGGUGUAAAGGGAGCGUAGACGGCUUUGCAAGCCAGAUGUGAAAGCCCGGGGCUCAACCCCGGGACUGCAUUUGGAACUGUGUGGCUAGAGUGUCGGAGAGGCAGGCGGAAUUCCUAGUGUAGCGGUGAAAUGCGUAGAUAUUAGGAGGAACACCAGUGGCGAAGGCGGCCUGCUGGACCGUAACUGACGUUGAUGCUCGAAAGCGUGGGGAGCAAACAGG